ACAAAAUAAACAACGUUUUUAUAACUCUCUUUGUUUCUUCUUCCACUUCCAUUCCAUCAUCAUUAUUUUAACCACAACAAACUACCAACAACCGUUCUUUCCUCUGUCUUUUCCAUACUUUGCCGUUUCUCGAAAAAACAAGACCAAAUUUCUGGGUAUUGUGUCCUUAAAGUUUUGUCUUGUGACCAUUCAGUACGUAACUUUUGACGCUGGAGAACAAAAAUAA